rnacentral:lncRNA from 1 species
ACGGUACUAAACCGUUUUCAUUAUAGCAUUUAUUAUGGGCCCUAAAUUAAUCAUCAAAUAUAAUUAUGGGCUAAAAGCCCAUUUAUAUUCAACAGAAUCCAGAGCGCAAAUCCAACUUAGAAAACCAAGAAGCCUGUCCCAAUUCAUCUAGUAAAUCAUCAAUAAGCGGCACUGGAUAUUUACUUUUCUGAGUAAUUGCAUUAAGCUGCCUAUAAUCAACACAAAAAAUGCCAUGACUAGUCCUUUUUCUUAACCAAAAUAACAGAAGAAGCAAAAGGACUAGAGCUUUUCUGUAUCAACCCAGAGUGAAGCAUUUCGUUGACUUGUUUCUCAAUUUCAUCCUUGACAGCAGGUGCAAAGUGGUAUGGUCGAGAAUAGAUCGGGCUGGCCCCUGGAAUCAAAGGAAUGGCAUGGUCACAAGCAUGGGACGGCGGUAACUGUGAAGGAGGUUGGAACAAAUCAUUGAAUUCCUCCACCAAGCUCUGAACCUCAGAAGGUCCCUUAGUAUCUUCUUGCUGGGAACUCAUGUGAUCAACUAAAAGAUGCAAGGACUCGCCAGGUACUUCAGGUAAGAUACCAGUCAGUUGAACCAUACCAGAUUUGUAAGGAAGCUGUAACCACUUGUGUGCCCAAUGUAUCUACAUGGGGCUAUGCUGCUCCAGCCAAUCCAAACCCAAAAUCAUAUCAUAUGAGGACAGGGGUAUGACCUUCAAAUCCUGCUGGAAUUCUAAGCCUUGCAUGGACCAAACAGUAGCUGGAAUAACCUUAGACGAAGACAGGAGUUCACCAUUUGCCACUUGAACACUGAUAGGGUUGGCCACAUCCUGAACUCCAACACAGUUAGAAGCUAAGACUAACUGACAAAGGUAUGUGUACUGCCUGAAUCCAAUAGAAUAUGAAUAGGAAUAGCACCCAAAUAGCCAUUAAAACAAAUUGUCCGUUGAGCCAAGACUCCAGAAACAGCUGCAGCAGAAAGUAACAUAUGUAAUUGAGUUGGCGUAGUGUCAUCAUCAGCCACAGGAAUGUCGGCUGGCUCAUCAGUAUCAUCUGAUUCAAAUAGUCCCAAAACUUCCUCUAGGAUAUGUAACUGAACGGCCUGAGCACACUUGUGAUCGCAGGACCACUUGGCGCCACAACGAACACACAAGCCCUGAGAACGUCGUAAGGCACAUAAGGCUUGCCAGCGAUCAUCAGCUGAUGUAGAGCGCCCAAUAUCAGGCAUCGGCUUCACCGCAGGAGCUCCCACAGACCGCUCUCAUGACGACCUGGUGGUGGAGGUAGAGGAAGCGAUGGCCACGCAAAGGGCUUGGUCCCAGACGACACAUCCCACUUGCGAACCUCCGGCUUCCUGGGCCCGAAGAGGUCCUCCUGCAAUUGAGCAAGGACACAAGCAGUAUCCCAAUUUUGGGGCUGAUGCAUAGAAACAGCUACUCUAAUAUUUUCUUGCAACCCAUCAAUAAAGCGCAUGGUAUAGAACAAAGGAUCUAUGGUAUGAUUGUAAGCACCUAACUGAUCAACAAUUGCAGAAAAUUGCUCUAUGUAAUCAGCGACUGUACCAGAUUGACGAAUUUGAAACAACUAACGCAGCAAAAGUUCAUGGUGAUCUUUACCAAAGCGCUCUAAAACCACAGAUGAAAGGGUUUCCCAACUACACCCACGAAGCUGGGACUCUACAGCAUUGUACCAGCGCUUUGCUGCCCCCACAAAAUGCAUGCGAGCUAUACGAACCCAAGCUGAGGACUCAACAUUAUACAGACUAAAAUAAUCGACACAGUCACUGAGCCAUAAUUUUGGGUGUUCACCAUCGAAUUUGGGAAAAUCGACUUUAGGAAUUUUUGUAUUGUAGGAGCCCAAAUCCCCACUAGCAGUAUGAGUAGAAACGUGCGCAAGCAUCCCAUUGGACAGAUGAACAGGAAUGAUUGGCGAUGGGGAGUUGGAGUGCUCACCCUUGAUCGGGGAAUGAAUCAGAGUUGAGACAACCCCAAAUCCAUUCUCCCGGUUCCGAUGUUCAACGUCGGGCCCCAUCACGGGUGAGUGGGCAGCCAAAGCCGCCGAAGUCGGGCGAAUCACCGCAGCAGGAGAUGUUGUCGUAGCAGGAGAUGUCGCCGCAGCAGGAGAUGGUGCGAAGAUGCCCGUCAUAUCGACAGGGUUUUCAACGCUGGCGCGCUCCUAGCCCAACGAGAGCUUCUUCACCUCCAGGCGCACGGCAUCGAUGGUGCCCUCGAUACCCGGCAGCCACUCGUCGAAGGACUGGGCGAGAUGCUCCAGGGAGGAGAAGUGGGCUUCCUGUGCCGACUCCAACUCCUGGUUUUGGCGUUUGAAGCGGGCUUCCUGAUCUGAGAAACGUUGACCCCACCUCGGAGAAGCUCUUGUGGAGCUCAUCGAGGAUGAGUUUGGUUUCAGGAUUCAUGACGCCGAGGCGAUGUUGGCGGCGGGUAAAGUGGUCGUGGGGUAGUGGAUCGGGGCGUUCCAGACUGCCGACUCUCCACAAAUCACUCUAGCGUGGAAGGGAAUUACAGCGACCCCGAAUCCGAACAGCAGCUCACUGCGCGAAUUCGAAAUCAAGCCAACCGGAUCCGUUGCUAAAGCAAUCGAUGGGAUGCGAGAAGACAGCGGAAUCGUCUGAGGAACGGUGCUGAUACCAAUUGUUAGCAGCAGGGAAUUUGGGGAAGGUAGCAAGGGGAUAGGAUGGAGAAUUGGGGAUCAGGAUCAGAAGAACAGCAGCGUGGAGAACAGGGUGGUGUGGUGAGGAAUCUUAUAUUGGCAGAGUUGUUUUGGUUCAUACAUUCGAUGCCCUUCCUCUCUUACCUGCUCCUCCUCAUAUAGGGUGAUACAUCGGCCCUGCCCAGCUUCUGUGCACGCAGGCACCUACUUCCAAUUAUUUCCUAUUACAUUCUUGUUGGGCCUCCUGUUCCUAGCACUCCUCCUGGGCCCAUUACCGUCCUUGUCUUCUGGGUUUACAGCAGUCGUAGUACCCGUGUUAACAAUAAACCGCUGGCAUUGUGUACGAGGUACUGCUGAAUUUGGUGCACGAGGUACUGGUUUCCAAAGACACAGCAAGUGUACCGACCGGCAGCAAGCAUUGGAUGAGCAGCAUGGGCCGCCGGCGGCGCUGCUCCGGCAGACGGUGCCCGGCCACGUGGAGGCAGACGAGGAGGAGGCGAGCAGGGACGUUUCCAACAGCAGCACAAGGAGCAUCGUCGUUCUCCCUCCGUUUCACAAGCAGCACAAGGAGGCGGUGUCUGUCACUCAGAUGCGUGAACUCUGACGCUGCAUUUUGUUAUCGGCGUGAAAUGCUGCAGCCUGCAGCGAGCGACGUUCAUGGAUUCAUGGACACCGGGAUUUAGAACGUGGUAGCAGGGUUCGGUUCUUGCGUUCCAGACCAUAGUCACCGGAGUUCCCGUCGUUCCCGGAACGACGGAUCGACGAACGACGAACCGGAAAGGAGAACGACGUUUUAGAUGCAGUUUUUACACCGUGGGAGCGAUUUCGUUCCCGCAUUCCCGUCCCGAAUCCCGUCCCGAACGCUCGUUCUCGGAACGUGGAACGCUACAGCGGUGACUAAGUUCCAGACUAGAAGGCGCCUGACGGCCUAUUGAGUCAUUUUUGCGUUGUGCGGUUAGCUUUGAUCGAUCGGCUCCAAUCUUGGCUCCAUCUUGGCUAUUCUAUUAUCGACAGACAGGGAUGCUCAGGCCCCUGAUGCUUCUAUGAAUUUGUCCAAUCUUCAGGCUUGACUCUUGAGAACGUUAUCUCCCGCGCAAAGAUACAGUAAAGUGCAUCUCCUACCUCCAGCAGUCUCUCUCAAGGCCUCAGGAAAAUAAAGGCCUGGAAUGGGCCCCAGACUCCAACGGGCCGUGCAGUCAAAGCGUCAACGCACAGCAUGUCCGCGUGUUUCCUGGCAUGUCUGCGUGUUAAAGCCGAGCCUGCUGCGCACUGGAAAAUAAAUAAGUGAGGCCUUGUUAAAAAAAAUUAAAAAAAAUCAGAUUUUCAGUCACAUCGAAUCUUGUAGCGCAUGUAUGAAGCAUUAAAUAUAAAUAAAAAUAAUAACUAAUUGUACAAUUUGUAUGUAAUUUGCGAGACGGAUCUUUUGAGCCUUGUUAGUUUAUAAUUGGAUAAUAUUUUUAAAAUACAAACAAAAAUGUUACGGUGUCUAUUUUGAAAAAAAAAUAGAACUAAAAAAACCCAAAGCCUAUGCUCGAUGGCACAUAUAUAUGCUCCCAGCAAUUCAAUUGUUCAAGUGUCAGCAUGAACAUAUAUGACAUCCAAGAUCUCGGUAUGCACUUUAAUCAUCAUUGCAGAUUCAUAAUUUGAUCUACAAAAAAUAAUUAUGUUUUGUUCAUCUAAAUGCAUAUCAAAUGGAAAGGAUAUAGAGAGUGAGGCAACAUCGAAAGCAGUUAGCAAUGCUCACAUAGUUGAUGAGGAGAAAAUGCGAUCAACCUCUAACAAAGAAAUCGAUACCCAAGGGGACUUGGAUGGAGACAAAGGAAGCGUCCAUGUUGUUUGCAACGCUG